rnacentral:rRNA from 1 species
AACGAACGCUGGCGGCAGGCUUAACACAUGCAAGUCGAACGCCCCGCAAGGGGAGUGGCAGACGGGUGAGUAACACGUGGGGAUCUGCCCAAUGGUACGGAAUAAUUCCGGGAAACUGGGACUAAUACCGGAUGUGCCCGCAAGGGGAAAGAGUUAUCGCCAUUGGAUGAACCCGCGUCGGAGUAGCUAGUUGGUGAGGUAAAGGCCCACCAAGGCGACGAUCCGUAGCUGGUCUGAGAGGAUGAUCAGCCCCACUGGGACUGGGGCACGGCCCAGACUCCUACGGGAGGCAGCAGUGGGGAAUAUUGGACAAUGGGCGCAAGCCUGAUCCAGCCAUGCCGCGUGAGUGAUGAAGGCCUUAGGGUUGUAAAGCUCUUUCGCCGACGAAGAUAAUGACGGUAGUCGGAGAAGAAGCCCCGGCUAACUUCGUGCCAGCAGCCGCCGUAACAC